AGAGCAUUUAAAUCAAGAUGUUCCUGUGAACUCCUUGUCUAAAGAAGAAAUUCAUAAUAGGAACUGAUUAAACCUUGUUGAUAGGAUUAUCUGUUGGAUGGUAUACCAAAGUUAAUCAUACUAUUAAUAAGGAAUUCAGUCUAGGAGGGGAAAUUGUUAGCCUAGAUGAAAUAGAAAUGUUAGAACCUGACCACCUAACGUACCUAGAUUCUAUUAAACAUUGAGGAAAAUAUUGCUCAUGCAAUCAAAACAGUGGUUAAAAUAUAGAAGAACAGGAGCCUCGUAUGAUAGAAAAAUAUCUACACUCUACAGAAUUUUGGUCGGUGAAGAGGCAACAUAUUUAUAAAAUAAGCACUGAGAUGAGAAAGCUAAGAUAUGUAAAAAAAAAAAAUUAAAAAAAAGAAAGAGA